UACGUAGGGUGCGAGCGUUAAUCGGAAUUACUGGGCGUAAAGCGUGCGCAGGCGGUUUUGUAAGCCAGAUGUGAAAGCCCCGGGCUAACCUGGGAAUGGCAUUUGGGACUGCAAGGCUUGAGUGCGGCAGAGGAGACUGGAAUUCCUGGUGUAGCAGUGAAAUGCGUAGAUAUCAGGAGGAAUACCGAUGGCGAAGGCAGGUCUCUGGGCUGACACUGACGCUCAUGCACGAAAGCGUGGGGAGCAAACGAGGAUUAGAGUACCGUG
rnacentral:rRNA from 1 species